GUUUAGCCUAAAGCUGCCUCCUUACAUAUUUUAAGUUUGGCCUAAAGGUUUCUCUGUACAUCAUGAACAAGUGGAGGUGUAAACAGACCGUAGCCCACAUUUGUGCCAAUCACCAAGUUUUGGCCAAUCAUAUGUAGCCAACUGUUUGAACUGUGUUCAAGUUAGGCAGACAUUGAGCUAUAACCAAUCUGGCUGUUUCUGUACCUCACUUCUGUUUUCUGUAUGUUACUUUUCUUUUUCUGUCUGUAAACUUUCUUCCACCACGCGGCUGGGCUGGAGACUUUGAGCAUACUCUGGCUUGGGGGGCUGCCCGAUUUGUGAAUUGUUUAUUGCCCAAUUAACCUCAUUUAAAAUUUAUUCGGCGGAAGUUUUUCUUUUAUUAGGUGGUGUCAGAAGUGGGGUUGGAAGUAGAGCUUCUAAUGACCCCCAGGAGUGCUGAGUUACCUACGAGGUACACUCUGGGCUCAUUGUGUCUCUUUCUCUCUCGGAGCAGCUGGGAAUCGUGAUAAAGAAAGCUUUUUAUGGCUCACUGACUGAGGACAAUCAAUCCCUUCACAAUCUGGAACCUGAAGAUUGGAUCUUCUGAGAACAUCAGAGAAAGAGUGCCCCUGCCAUCCACACUGCAGCAAACAUCAGAACCGUGAACCUUGGGUUCAUAAUCUCUCAACUGAGAAGGAUCCCUCCACAUUCUUGGAACUGUACACCCAUCGAAACCCUUAAGGUGUCAAACUUUCUCAGUCAGAAGUUGAUAUAAGGAAGUGACCAUCUUCAGGUCUCCUUUGAAGCUCCCAGCCUAGCUUUCUUUUGAAUCUCUGCUCUUCAACCACAAUGAUUUAUGUACCUCAAGACCCCUCCACCUCCUGGCUGCCUGUGAUCUUCCUGCACCUAGCACUCAGCAAAGGGUCUGACAUUUAGAUAGCACUCAAUCAAUAUGAAGAAUUUAAAGUAUAGUGACAAGGUGGUGCCCACACUGGAUGGUCUGUAUGCUGUGGUCGCAUCAGGGACCUUUCUCUGCACCACAUUUUUCCUGAGAAAUCCCAGAGUUCAAUAAAUACCUGUGUAUGUCAGAGCUAGACACAUCUGA